rnacentral:sRNA from 1 species
CACACAGACACAAAGCACACAGUAACAA